UCGAACGAUGAAGCCCUUCGGGGUGGAUUAGUGGCGAACGGGUGAGUAACACGUGGGCAAUCUGCCCUUCACUCUGGGACAAGCCCUGGAAACGGGGUCUAAUACCGGAUAACACUCUGUCCCGCAUGGGACGGGGUUGAAAGCUCCGGCGGUGAAGGAUGAGCCCGCGGCCUAUCAGCUUGUUGGUGGGGUGAUGGCCUACCAAGGCGACGACGGGUAGCCGGCCUGAGAGGGCGACCGGCCACACUGGGACUGAGACACGGCCCAGACUCCUACGGGAGGCAGCAGUGGGGAAUAUUGCACAAUGGGCGAAAGCCUGAUGCAGCGACGCCGCGUGAGGGAUGACGGCCUUCGGGUUGUAAACCUCUUUCAGCAGGGAAGAAGCGAGAGUGACGGUACCUGCAGAAGAAGCGCCGGCUAACUACGUGCCAGCAGCCGCGGUAAUACGUAGGGCGCAAGCGUUGUCCGGAAUUAUUGGGCGUAAAGAGCUCGUAGGCGGCUUGUUGCGUCGGUUGUGAAAGCCCGGGGCUUAACCCCGGGUCUGCAGUCGAUACGGGCAGGCUAGAGUGUGGUAGGGGAGAUCGGAAUUCCUGGUGUAGCGGUGAAAUGCGCAGAUAUCAGGAGGAACACCGGUGGCGAAGGCGGAUCUCUGGGCCAUUACUGACGCUGAGGAGCGAAAGCGUGGGGAGCGAACAGGAU
rnacentral:rRNA from 1 species